rnacentral:rRNA from 1 species
GUGGGGAAUAUUGGACAAUGGGCGAAAGCCUGAUCCAGCCAUGCCGCGUGUGUGAAGAAGGUCUUCGGAUUGUAAAGCACUUUAAGUUGGGAGGAAGGGCAGUAAGUUAAUACCUUGCUGUUUUGACGUUACCGACAGAAUAAGCACCGGCUAACUUCGUGCCAGCAGCCGCGGUAAUACGAAGGGUGCAAGCGUUAAUCGGAAUUACUGGGCGUAAAGCGCGCGUAGGUGGUUUUGUAAGUUGGAGGUGAAAUCCCCGGGCUCAAACUGGGAACUGCCUCCAAAACUGCAUGACUAGAGUACGGUAGAGGGUAGUGGAAUUUCCUGUGUAGCGGUGAAAUGCGUAGAUAUAGGAAGGAACACCAGUGGCGAAGGCGACUACCUGGACUGAUACUGACACUGAGGUGCGAAAGCGUGGGGAGCAAACAGGAUUAGAAACCCCUGUAGUCC